rnacentral:rRNA from 3 species
GCCUAUUUUAAUUUAGGGCUAACCCGUCUCUGUGGCAAAAGAGUGGGAAGAGCUCCGGGUAGAAGUGACAGACCUACCGAACCUGGUGAUAGCUGGUUGCCUGAGAAGUGGAUAGAAGUUCAGCCUCGUACACCCCAAAUCAAAUAAAUACAACAUUAAGACAACUAAGGGAAAUAUACGAGAGUUAGUUAAAGGGGGUACAGCCCCUCUAACAAAGGAUACAACCUUUACAGGAGGAUAAAGAUCAUAAUAUAUAAAACAUACUGUUUUAGUGGGCCUAAAGGCAGCCAUCUAAAUAGAAAGCGUUAAAGCUCAGACAGAGAGAAGUUUAUUAUACUGAUAAAAAAAUCUUAUUCCCCUAGCAAUAUCAGGCUAACCCAUGCCUACAUGGAAGAAAUUAUGCUAAAAUGAGUAACAAGAAGACCUGCUCUUCUCCAAGCACAAGUGUAAACCAGAUCGGACAAACCGCUGGAAAUUAACGAACCCAACCCAAGAGAGUAAUGUGAACAACAAAAAAACCAAGAAAAACCCACAACCAAACAAUCGUUAACCCCACACUGGAGUGCCAUUUUUAAAGGAAAGACUAAAAGAAAGGGAAGGAACUCGGCAAACACAAGCCUCGCCUGUUUACCAAAAACAUCGCCUCCUGCAACUAAACUGAGUAUAGGAGGUCCAGCCUGCCCAGUGACUACGGGUUCAACGGCCGCGGUAUUUUGACCGUGCAAAGGUAGCGCAAUCACUUGUCUUUUAAAUAGAGACCUGUAUGAAUGGCCAAACGAGGGCUUAACUGUCUCCCCCUUCAAGUCAGUGAAAUUGAUCUAUCCGUGCAGAAGCGGGUAUAACCAUACAAGACGAGAAGACCCUUUGGAGCUUAAGGUACAAAAUUCAACCACGUCAAGCAACUUAAUAAAAAGCAAGAACUUAGUGGAAAAUGAAGUUUUACCUUCGGUUGGGGCGACCACGGAGGAAAAACAAGCCUCCGAGUGGAAUGGGCCAAAUCCCUAAAACCAAGAGAAACAUCUCUAAGCCACAGAACAUCUGACCAAAAAUGAUCCGGCUACUAAAGCCGAUCAACGAACCAAGUUACCCUAGGGAUAACAGCGCAAUCCUCUCCCAGAGUCCAUAUCGACGAGGGGGUUUACGACCUCGAUGUUGGAUCAGGACAUCCUAAUGGUGCAGCCGCUAUUAAGGGUUCGUUUGUUCAACGAUUAAAGUCCUACGUGAUCUGAGUUCA